GACAACACACAGCUACAAAGCCAAUUUUUUUCUUCCACAAAAUCUAUACAGACUUCACCAUAGAAGGAUGUAUGGUCUUGUUAAGGACUCAAGCCUCCCACCUAAGAAACAAGGACAGUCUCAUCAUGUUGCACUGGCAAAAAUGUCCGCUGAUUGUGAACGUUCAGCAAAAACAGAGAUGCAUGUGGGCUUGAGCAAUACAGUAUGAUAUGGAAAAAACCAUUUUAUCUCACACAACCUCAUUCAUCAUUGUUGACUGUUUACAAAUUAUUGUGAAAUGCUUUACAUAAAUAAAAUUGUUUUGCCUGUC
rnacentral:lncRNA from 1 species